UACGUAGGGUGCAAGCGUUGUCCGGAAUUAUUGGGCGUAAAGAGCUCGUAGGCGGUCUGUCGCGUCGGCUGUGAAAACCUGGGGCUUAACUCCGGGCCUGCAGCCGAUACGGGCAGACUAGAGUUCGGCAGGGGAGACUGGAAUUCCUGGUGUAGCGGUGAAAUGCGCAGGUAUCAGGAGGAACACCGGUGGCGAAGGCGGGUCUCUGGGCCGAAACUGACGCUGAGGAGCGAAAGCGUGGGGAGCAAACAGG
rnacentral:rRNA from 1 species